rnacentral:rRNA from 1 species
CGAAUGGGCGAAAGCCUGAUCCAGCAACGCCGCGUGAGGGAUGACGGCCUUCGGGUUGUAAACCUCUUUCAGCAGGGACGAAGCGCAAGUGACGGUACCUGCAGAAGAAGCACCGGCCAACUACGUGCCAGCAGCCGCGGUAAUACGUAGGGUGCGAGCGUUGUCCGGAAUUAUUGGGCGUAAAGGGCUCGUAGGCGGUUUGUCACGUCGGGAGUGAAAACUCGGGGCUUAACCCCGAGCCUGCUUCCGAUACGGGCAGACUAGAGGUAUGCAGGGGAGAACGGAAUUCCUGGUGUAGCGGUGAAAUGCGCAGAUAUCAGGAGGAACACCGGUGGCGAAGGCGGUUCUCUGGGCAUUACCUGACGCUGAGGAGCGAAAGUGUGGGGAGCGAACAGGAUUAGAUACCCUGGUAGUCCACACCGUAAACGUUGGGCGCUAGGUGUGGGGCUCAUUCCACGAGUUCCGUGCCGCAGCUAACGCAUUAAGCGCCCCGCCUGGGGAGUACGGCCGCAAGGCUA